AGGCGAAGGCCUGGGACAGCACCUGGUGCCGGUUCUCCCACAUCCUGCCCAGCUCCUCCCAACCCGUGUCCAGCGCCUCCAGGCGCCGCUGCAGGAAGACGUGCUGCGCGUCCGUCUGUCCCCGCGUCACCUCGCCGCCCACCGCCCUGGUGCUGCGGUAAUCGUCGCCGUAGUGGGCGAUCUCCUUGCGGAUGCUCUCGUGCUGGCUCAGCAACCGCUCGGCUUCUCCCAGCGUGGCCGGCACGUCCUCGGAGGCCACGGCGGUUUGGGUGCGGGACAGCCAAGCCUGGAAGGCGGCCAGGUCCCGCAGGAAGCCCUGCAGCUUGCUGGCUUCUCCCAACGAUUCCUCCCGGCGCCGCAGGCAGCGCCGCAGCUCGGCCCACACCGCCUCGAUGCCCGCCAGCCGCUGGCCGAUGCCGGCCUCGUGCUCCGGGUGCUCGGCCGACAGCUUGUCCGCCUCGGCGCGCAGCUCGUGCACCUUGCCCUGGAUGGCCUCCAGGUCUCGCUCCAUGCCCGACAGCUUGCGCUGCAGCGCCAUGACGCCGGCCAGGUGGAAGUUCUGGAUGUUGAGCGCCGAGGUCAGCGCUUCCUUCUUCUGGUCGGCCAAGGCGCGGAACCGCUCCCACCUGCAUGGGGGGAACGUGGGGACGCUGUGGUCACCGUGCCCGGAGCUGGGCGCAGGGUGACACGGAACUGACAGAGGGGGUGGGGUAGGCCGGAGGGUCCUUAAAGAUCGUAGAAUGGGUUCAGGUGGGUCAGGGGGUCCUUAAAGAUCACAAAAGCAUGGAAGGGAUUGGGCUGGGUUGGGUUGGGUUGAGUUGGGAUAGACUGAGUUGUAUUGGGUUGGGUUGAGUUGGGUUGGGUUGGUUGAGUUGGAUUGAGUUGGGUUGGUUGAGUUGAGUUGGGUUGAGUUGGUUUGGGUUGGGAUGAGUUGGGUUGGGUUGGGUUGGGUUGGUUGAGUUGGGUUGAAUUGGGUAGGGUUGAGUUGGGUUGGGUUGGUUGAGUUGGGUUGAGUUGGGUUGGGUUG
rnacentral:lncRNA from 1 species